rnacentral:rRNA from 1 species
CAAUAGCGUAUAUUAAAGUUGUUGCAGUUAAAAAGCUCGUAGUUGGAUUUCUGGUGGGAGCGAUCGGUCUGGCGCUUAGCGCGAGUACUUGCAUCGUCUCCGGCCAUCCUUGGGGAAAGUCUGUCUGGCAUUAAGUUGUCGGGCAGAGGAUCCUCAUCGUUUACUGUGAAAAAAUUAGAGUGUUCAAAGCAGGCUUAUGCCGUUGAAUAUAUUAGCACGGAAUAAUAAGAUAGGACUUUGGUACUAUUUUGUUGGUUUGCGCACCAAAGUAAUGAUUAAUAGGGACAGUUGGGGGUAUUCGUAUUCCGUUGUCAGAGGUGAAAUUCUUGGAUUUACGGAAGACGAACUACUGCGAAAGCAUUUACCAAGGAUGUUUUCAUUAA